AAGUACGUUACUAAGGGGAUACACAGUUUAUAAUUGCUGCUAUAUAAAACGGAUAUUAGCUUAAUGCAAAGUUCCGGAAUAACCAUAUUUCAAAGGAUACUGUUGAGAGAGAUACAAAAAAAUUCACCAGAAUGAAGCUGUAGCUGAACCAGAGCUAUGCAGACAAAUACUGAAGGAAGAGAUAAUUUUCUACCAAGAAUUGAAAGAGAAAUUGUUCUUAUAUAAUAAUGGGGGUAUAACCAUUAGUAAUUAUUUACCAGAAUGAAGCACAAAGAAAAAGAAUAAUGAAACUAGGAAAAAAUGUGGUGGUUUUAGAUGUUACAUAUAAAGGU